CACCACAACAAUUAAUAGAUACUCAAUCAUCAAUACAUAUCCAACCACCAAAACAUCGAGCUAGUCGGUACUAAUUUCAAAAAAAAUCCGCAAAAUUUCCUUUAAAAAUAGAUAUCCAGAAAAUUCUAAACCUGUCUACAAAACUUAUUAUCAUUAAUACAUAUCCAAACCACCAAAAAAACUAUCAUUCCAUACCCAAAAUCAUCAUAACCAUGUAUAAUUAGUUAACUUUACAAAAUACGGAACACGCAAAAUACACACAAUCAUCAACACAUAUCUAACCACCAAAACAUCAAGCUAGUCGUUACUAAUUUUAAAAAAAUUCGACAGAGUUUCCUUUAAAAAUACAUAUCCAGACAAAUAUAAACCUGUCUAUAAAAC
rnacentral:lncRNA from 1 species